rnacentral:lncRNA from 1 species
UCAUCAGUGAAAGAGAGAGAAGUCAGUUGGUGACCAGGUAGAUGGACAUUAAACAUUGGGGAUGAAAACUCGAAUUGCUGACAAGUUUUUGGAGUGAGCAUCACAUCUGAACAACUAGGAGACAAACCCAAAUACAGUUGUCUUUCCCAUGAAAACUGCAGCUCAAAUUUUAGACAUACACCUAGUUCUCCCAUUUUAUGCUAAAAUCUGAUGGGAAAUCUUGUUAGACAGAGGUCAACGGAUGAGCCAAUGGAAAAUAAAGACAAGGACUGCAGUGGGAGGUGCCCGAGAAUUUUUCUGACAUAAAAAGAGACACACAGACCAAUGGAACAGAAUAAAAAACCAGAAGCAAAUCCACGCAUCUACAGUG